GCCGUGAUUGUACAGUGGUUAGUACUCUGUGUUGUGGCCACAGUAACCUUGGUUCAAAUCCAAGUCAUGGCA